UAAUUGAAGAGUUUGAUCAUGGCUCAGAUUGAACGCUGGCGGCAGGCCUAACACAUGCAAGUCGAGCGGCAGCGACAACAUUGACCCUUCGGGUGAUUUGUUGGGCGGCGAGCGGCGGACGGGUGAGUAAUGCCUGGGAACAUGCCUUAGUGUGGGGGAUAACCAUUGGAAACGAUGGCUAAUACCGCAUAAUCUCUACGGAGCAAAGAGGGGGACCUUCGGGCCUCUCGCGCUAAGAUUGGCCCAGGUGGGAUUAGCUAGUAGGUGGGGUAACGGCUCACCUAGGCGACGAUCCCUAGCUGGUCUGAGAGGAUGAUCAGCCACACUGGAACUGAGACACGGUCCAGACUCCUACGGGAGGCAGCAGUGGGGAAUAUUGCACAAUGGGGGAAACCCUGAUGCAGCCAUGCCGCGUGUGUGAAGAAGGCCUUCGGGUUGUAAAGCACUUUCAGUCGUGAGGAAGGCGGCUAAGUUAAUAGCUUAGUUGUUUGACGUUAGCGACAGAAGAAGCACCGGCUAACUCCGUGCCAGCAGCCGCGGUAAUACGGAGGGUGCGAGCGUUAAUCGGAAUUACUGGGCGUAAAGCGCAUGCAGGCGGCUUGUUAAGCCAGAUGUGAAAGCCCGGGGCUCAACCUCGGAAUCGCAUUUGGAACUGGCAGGCUAGAGUCUUGUAGAGGGGGGUAGAAUUUCAGGUGUAGCGGUGAAAUGCGUAGAGAUCUGAAGGAAUACCGGUGGCGAAGGCGGCCCCCUGGACAAAGACUGACGCUCAGAUGCGAAAGCGUGGGGAGCAAACAGGAUUAGAUACCCUGGUAGUCCACGCCGUAAACGAUGUCUACUUGGAGGUUGGUGUCUUGAACACUGGCUUUCGGAGCUAACGCGUUAAGUAGACCGCCUGGGGAGUACGGUCGCAAGAUUAAAACUCAAAUGAAUUGACGGGGGCCCGCACAAGCGGUGGAGCAUGUGGUUUAAUUCGAUGCAACGCGAAGAACCUUACCUACUCUUGACAUCCAGAGAACUUUCCAGAGAUGGAUUGGUGCCUUCGGGAACUCUGAGACAGGUGCUGCAUGGCUGUCGUCAGCUCGUGUUGUGAAAUGUUGGGUUAAGUCCCGCAACGAGCGCAACCCUUAUCCUUGUUUGCCAGCACUUCGGGUGGGAACUCCAGGGAGACUGCCGGUGAUAAACCGGAGGAAGGUGGGGACGACGUCAAGUCAUCAUGGCCCUUACGAGUAGGGCUACACACGUGCUACAAUGGCGCAUACAGAGGGCUGCAAGCUAGCGAUAGUGAGCGAAUCCCAAAAAGUGCGUCGUAGUCCGGAUUGGAGUCUGCAACUCGACUCCAUGAAGUCGGAAUCGCUAGUAAUCGUGGAUCAGAAUGCCACGGUGAAUACGUUCCCGGGCCUUGUACACACCGCCCGUCACACCAUGGGAGUGGGCUGCACCAGAAGUAGAUAGCUUAACCUUCGGGAGGGCGUUUACCACGGUGUGGUUCAUGACUGGGGUGAAGUCGUAACAAGGUAGCCCUAGGGGAACCUGGGGCUGGAUCACCUCCUUA
rnacentral:rRNA from 1 species